rnacentral:rRNA from 1 species
AAACCAGACUCCUACGGGAGGCAGCAGUGGGGGAUAUUGCACAAUGGGGGGAACCCUGAUGCAGCGACGCCGCGUGGGUGAAGAAGCGCCUCGGCGCGUAAAGCCCUGUCAGCAGGGAAGAAAAUGACGGUACCUGAAGAAGAAGCCCCGGCUAACUACGUGCCAGCAGCCGCGGUAAUACGUAGGGGGCAAGCGUUAUCCGGAUUUACUGGGUGUAAAGGGAGCGUAGACGGCGAUGCAAGUCUGAAGUGAAAGGCGGGGGCCCAACCCCCGGACUGCUUUGGAAACUGUAUAGCUGGAGUGCAGGAGAGGUAAGUGGAAUUCCUAGUGUAGCGGUGAAAUGCGUAGAUAUUAGGAGGAACACCAGUGGCGAAGGCGGCUUACUGGACUGUAACUGACA